rnacentral:rRNA from 1 species
AUUGAACGCUGGCGGCAUGCCUUACACAUGCAAGUCGAACGGUAACAGGUCUUCGGAUGCUGACGAGUGGCGAGCGGGUGAGUAAUACAUCGGAACGUGCCUAGUAGUGGGGGAUAACUACUCGAAAGAGUGGCUAAUACCGCAUGAGAUCUACGGAUGAAAGCAGGGGAUCGCAAGACCUUGUGCUACUAGAGCGGCCGAUGGCAGAUUAGGUAGUUGGUGGGAUAAAAGCUUACCAAGCCGACGAGCUGUAGCUGGUCUGGGAGGACGAUCAGCCACACUGGGACUGAGACACGGCCCAGACUCCUACGGGAGGCAGCAGUGGGGAAUUUUGGACAAUGGGCGCAAGCCUGAUCCAGCAAUGCCGCGUGCAGGAUGAAGGCCUUCGGGUUGUAAACUGCUUUUGUACGGAACGAAAAGCCCUGGGUUAAUACCCUGGGGUCAUGACGGUACCGUAAGAAUAAGCACCGGCUAACUACGUGCCAGCAGCCGCCGUAAUAC